rnacentral:rRNA from 1 species
UGACAUAGAAAUUUAUUAACUUUCUUUUAUUUAUAUUCAUUGAUUAGUGUAUUUUUAGAUCCAGGUUUAUCUUGAUUAUAAGUUUAAGUUACCUUAGGGAUAACAGCGUAAUUCUUUUGGAGAGUCCUAAUCGAUGAAAGAGUUUGCGACCUCGAUGUUGGAUUAAAAUUAGUAUUGGGAGUAGAAGAU